UACGUAUGGUGCAAGCGUUAUCCGGAUUUACUGGGUGUAAAGGGAGCGUAGGUGGUCAGGCAAGUCAGGAGUGAAAUACCGGGGCUCAACCCCGGGGCUGCUCUUGAAACUGCAGGACUGGAGUGCAGGAGGGGUAAGCGGAAUUCCUAGUGUAGCGGUGAAAUGCGUAGAUAUUAGGAGGAACACCGGUGGCGAAGGCGGCUUACUGGACUGUAACUGACACUGAGGCUCGAAAGCGUGGGGAG
rnacentral:rRNA from 1 species